GAUGAACGCUAGCGACAGGCCUAACACAUGCAAGUCGAGGGGCAGCAUGAAAUUAGCUUGCUAAUUUUGAUGGCGACCGGCGCACGGGUGAGUAACACGUAUGCAACCUGCCUGUAAGCGGGGGAUAACCCGGAGAAAUUCGGACUAAUACCGCAUAAUAUCAUUGAUUCGCAUGUUUCAAUGGUUAAAAAUUUAUUGCUUACAGAUGGGCAUGCGUAUGAUUAGCUAGUUGGCGGGGUAACGGCCCACCAAGGCGACGAUCAUUAGGGGUUCUGAGAGGAAGGUCCCCCACAUUGGAACUGAGACACGGUCCAA
rnacentral:rRNA from 1 species